UCCUGGCUCAGAAUGAACGCUGGCGGCGGUGCUAACACAUGCAAGUCGAACGAAGAAACUUGAGAGACUGAUUCUUUCGGAAUGAAGUCCCUUGAGGAAAGUGGCGGACGGGCGAGUAACACGUGAGCAACCUACCCUUUACAGUGGAAUAMCAAUCGGAAACGAUUGCUAAUACCGCAUAACAUAUACCUUAGGCAUCUUCGGUAUAUCAAAGAUUUAUCGGUAAUGGAUGGGCUCGCGUCUGAUUAGGAAGUUGGUGAGGUAACGGCUCACCAAUCCGACGAUCAGUAGCCGGACUGAGAGGUUGAUCGGCCGCAUUGGGACUGAGACACGGCCCAGACUCCUACGGGAGGCAGCAGUGGGGAAUAUUGGACAAUGGGCGCAAGCCUGAUCCAGCAACGCCGCGUGAAGGAAGAAGGUCUUCGGAUUGUAAACUUCUUUAGACAGGGAUGAAAGAAAUGACAGUACCUGUAGAAUAAGCCACGGCUAACUACGUGCCAGCAGCCGCGGUAAUACGUAGGUGGCGAGCGUUAUCCGGAAUUACUGGGUGUAAAGGGCGUGUAGGCGGUAUACUAAGUCAGAUGUGAAAUCUCCCGGCUCAACCGGGAGCAUGCAUCUGAAACUGGUAAACUUGAGUGAUAGAGGGGAAAGUGGAAUUCCUAGUGUAGCGGUAAAAUGCGUAGAUAUUAGGAGGAACACCAGUGSCGAAGGCGGCUUKGUGGCUAUUAACUAACGCUMAAG
rnacentral:rRNA from 1 species